CAAUAGCGUAUAUUAAAGUUGUUGCAGUUAAAAAGCUCGUAGUCGGACUUCUGGCCGUGAGCGCGGGUCCGCCGCAAGGUGUGCACUCGCGUUGGCGGCCAUCCUCUCGAGGAGGCGGCGUGCUCUUUAUUGAGUGUGUCGUCGACUCGGGACCUUUACUUUGAAAAAAUUAGAGUGUUCAAAGCAGGCCUUCGCUUGAAUACAUUAGCAUGGAAUAAUGGAAUAGGACUUUGGUUCUAUUUUGUUGGUUUCUAGGACCGAAGUAAUGAUUAAUAGGGAUAGUUGGGGGCAUUAGUAUUUAAUUGUCAGAGGUGAAAUUCUUGGAUUUAUGAAAGACUAACAUCUGCGAAAGCAUUUGCCAAGGAUGUUUNCAUUG
rnacentral:rRNA from 1 species